rnacentral:rRNA from 1 species
AGGACGAACGCUGGCGGCGUGCUUAACACAUGCAAGUCGAACGGAAAGGCCCUGCUUUUGUGGGGUGCUCGAGUGGCGAACGGGUGAGUAACACGUGAGUAACCUGCCCUUGACUUUGGGAUAACUUCAGGAAACUGGGGCUAAUACCGGAUAGGAGCUCCUGCUGCAUGGUGGGGGUUGGAAAGUUUCGGCGGUUGGGGAUGGACUCGCGGCUUAUCAGCUUGUUGGUGGGGUAGUGGCUUACCAAGGCUUUGACGGGUA